rnacentral:rRNA from 1 species
CAGCCGCCACGGUAAAACGAAGGGUGCAAGCGUUACUCGGAAUUACUGGGCGUAAAGCGUGCGUAGGUGGUGGUUUAAGUCCGUUGUGAAAGCCCUGGGCUCAACCUGGGAAUUGCAGUGGAUACUGGGUCACUAGAGUGUGGUAGAGGAUAGUGGAAUUUCCGGUGUAGCAGUGAAAUGCGUAGAGAUCGGAAGGAACAUCUGUGGCGAAGGCGACUAUCUGGGCCAACACUGACACUGAGGCACGAAAGCGUGGGGAGCAAACAGGAUUAGAUACCCCUGUAGUCCCUGUCUCUUAUAU